rnacentral:rRNA from 1 species
UGGGGAAUAUUGGACAAUGGGCGAAAGCCUGAUCCAGCCAUGCCGCGUGUGUGAAGAAGGUUUUCGGAUUGUAAAGCACUUUAAGUUGGGAGGAAGGGCAUUAACCUAAUACGUUAGUGUUUUGACGUUACCGACAGAAUAAGCACCGGCUAACUCUGUGCCAGCAGCCGCGGUAAUACAGAGGGUGCAAGCGUUAAUCGGAAUUACUGGGCGUAAAGCGCGCGUAGGUGGUUUGUUAAGUUGGAUGUGAAAUCCCCGGGCUCAACCUGGGAACUGCAUUCAAAACUGACUGACUAGAGUAUGGUAGAGGGUGGUGGAAUUUCCUGUGUAGCGGUGAAAUGCGUAGAUAUAGGAAGGAACACCAGUGGCGAAGGCGACCACCUGGACUAAUACUGACACUGAGGUGCGAAAGCGUGGGGAGCAAACA